rnacentral:tRNA from 1 species
GCGGCUGUAGCUCAGUGGAUUAGAGCACUAGUCUACGGAACUAGGUGUCGCAGGUUCGAAUCCUGCCAGCCGCGCCA